GAUGAACGCUGGCGGCGUGCUUAACACAUGCAAGUCGAACGAAGCACUGAGAAAUGAAGCUUUCGGGUUGAUUUUCUCUUUGACUUAGUGGCGGACGGGUGAGUAACGCGUGGGUAACCUGCCGUAUGCAGGGGGACAACAGUUGGAAACGGCUGCUAAUACCGCAUAAGCGCACACUGUUGCAUGACAGAGUGUGAAAAGAUUUAUCGGCAUACGAUGGACCCGCGUCUGAUUAGGUAGUUGGUGAGGUAACGGCCCACCAAGCCGACGAUCAGUAGCCGACCUGAGAGGGUGACCGGCCACAUUGGGACUGAGACACGGCCCAAACUCC
rnacentral:rRNA from 1 species